UUCAGUUGGAAAGAAUCCCAGGGACAGCAGUGUAACCAGUGUGAGGUUUAGGAAUUAGUCUAAGGUUAGCUGUCAUGCAGAGCUGUAGGUAUUAUAUUGCCUUGCGAGGGGGUCCUGCGUGGUGAUAAGACCACAACCUUUAUCAUCCUGGCACAAAGAAUAGCUGAGAGAGUGGAAGGAAUUCCAGUGGCCUUCUCUCAGGAUUUGCAUGGCCCCGUGACCAAAUAAAAUGGGAGAAAAAGGAUGCAGCAGCAUUUCCACAUCACCUUCCUGCCUUCCAAGCACUGAGGAACCUGUCUGAAAGCAAUGACCUUAACUGCACUCUCUCUUCUGAAACAGAUUCUGUUUGAUGGGGAGAAAGAGGCGAGGAGACAGAUCUGAUUCAUGGAAUAGUUCCGGUGGUGAGGAUGAAAACCAGUCUGCCCCUGGCUUCUGAAAGCAUUCCACUUGGUGUGAAGAAAUAAGCAUUAAUAAAG